rnacentral:rRNA from 1 species
UACAGAGGUCCCAAGCGUUGUUCGGAUUCACUGGGCGUAAAGGGUGCGUAGGUGGUGGAUUAAGUCGGGUGUGAAAUCUCCGGGCUCAACCCGGAGCGUGCGCCCGAAACUGGUUCGCUAGAGGAUAGGAGGGGAGACUGGAAUUCUCGGUGUAGCAGUGAAAUGCGUAGAUAUCGAGAGGAACACCGGUGGCGAAGGCGAGUCUCUGGACUAUUCCUGACACUGAAUCACGAAAGCCGGGGGAGCAAACAGG